AGUUGGAGAUUAGAGGCUGAGGCCGUUGCUGGCAUUCCAUCGGAAUACAUGGGGCAAGCUGAUCUGGUCAAGAUGUGUCAUGUGGAUCACAGGAGCUAGAAGAGCAGGAUAACGAGAUCAGCAUAACAACAGCGACGUCCGGGUGUCCGUGGCCACACUUCGAGCAGCUUGUACACCUAUUGUACACCUAUUGCACAAAAGGGUCCAGGGGCUGGAGAUCCAGCAGAGGGAAAUGAAGUACAGUGGGUGAGUCGAGGUCAUCAUACAAGGAAGUCUUCCUGGUGAAGU
rnacentral:lncRNA from 1 species